rnacentral:rRNA from 1 species
AUGCAUGGUCACUUUGAGAAACUCUAUGAAUAUCGGGCUACAUGGGUGCCGUGUUACUUCAAAUUCAGGUUCUUCCCUUUCCUUCAGUCAAUGCACAGCGAAGGGUUCAAUGCUGUGUUGAAGCGCUAUGUGAACCCGCACAAGUCAAUUCUCAACUUCGUCAAGCAAUAUGAGAAGAUUCAGGUACACAUACUCGUGAGGGAGGGCGGGAACGACUACCGGACAGAGCAUCUAUAA